GCCGAGGAGUGAUGACAAUAAAAGGCCAGAAUUGCAGUUCUCCCCGCAGCAGUCGAAUCUCAGUGGGAGCAUGGUGACAGGACUCCAGAGCAAGACUGUCCGACCUCAGG